rnacentral:rRNA from 1 species
AGCAGCCGCGGUAAUUCCAGCUCCAAUAGCGUAUAUUAAAGUUGUUGCAGUUAAAAAGCUCGUAGUUGAAUUUCGGGAUCAAUACGUCGGUCGUGCUUCGGUACGUACUGGCGUAAUUGAUUUCUCCCUUCUGACGAACCAUGAUGUCAUUAACUUGGUGUCAUGGGAAAUCAGGACUGUUACUUUGAAAAAAUUAGAGUGUUUAAAGCAGGCUCACGCUUGAAUACAUUAGCAUGGAAUAAUGAAAUAGGACGUUCGAUCCUAUUUUGUUGGUUUUUAGGAUCAACGUAAUGAUUAAUAGGGAUAGUUGGGGGCAUUAGUAUUCAAUUGUCAGAGGUGAAAUUCUUGGAUUUAUUGAAGACUAACUACUGCGAAAGCAUUUGCCAAGGAUGUUUUCAUUAAUCAAGAACGAAAGUUAGGGGAUCGAAGACGAUCAGAUACCGUCGUAGUCUUAACCAUAAACUAUGCCGACUAGGGAUCGGAUGAUGUUAAUUUUUAAUGACCCAUUCGGCGCCUUACG